rnacentral:rRNA from 1 species
GACGAACGCUGGCGGCGUGCCUAACACAUGCAAGUCGAGCGGAGAUUGCAGCAAUGCAAUCUUAGCGGCGGACGGGUGAGUAACGCGUGGGCAACCUGCCUUACACAGGGGGGAUAACACUGGGAAACUAGUGCUAAUACCGCAUAACAUCACUAAAUGGCAUCAUUUGGUGAUCAAAGGAGAAAUCCGGUGAAAGAUGGGCCCGCGUCCGAUUAGCUAGUUGGUGGGGUAGAAGCCUACCAAGGCGACGAUCGGUAGCCGGACUGAGAGGUUGAUCGGCCACAUUGGGACUGAGACACGGCCCAGACUCCUACGGGUGGCAG